rnacentral:lncRNA from 1 species
CAUAUAAUCCUAAGCUCCUUUAAUAGGUGAUACCACAUCAAAGCAUAAUUAACAACUUUUGAUAACUAAAAAUUUAUCAAUUUACUUAAACUGCAUUCUCAAUGGAAAUCAUAACUUAUUGUGCCCUUGUUGCAAAGCAGACUUGCAGUGACAAAUUUCAUGGCAAAGAAAGAAAGGAACUUCAACAAAUCAUAGUUAUCAUCUUUUGUUCGUAUUGCGUCUUGAGUGUACCUUCUGAUAUAUAUGCACAAUAUCCAAUAUGGUAAAUGUGAGAAACAGAUGUACAUACUUGUUUGUUAUUUUUUGAUAUGCAAAGAGAAAAAAUAUAUAUUCAAAAGGGGUCUAACAAAAGGGAGUGCACACAUGUACACAGGGGGAAUACAUAGAACAACGACAACAUCACUAGCACCACACAUUAAGUACCCACGCAAUCAAAAGAAGUCAAGAAUGGAAACCAAACUACAAUAGGAAUCUACAUUAAACCAAGAGAACAAUGUAUUUACAAAUAGGUCCCUCCAAAACUGCUUCUGAGCUCUACACCAUCAAAACACCACAUAUUAUGCUCCAUCCAAAGGGACCAGAAGAGGCAAAGAGGAACCAUCCUCCAAAAACUCUUUUUACUCUCCCCCAUAGAAUGCCCAUGCCAACCCAGAGUAGUCUAUUGUUAAUAGCUUUGUAGAAAAAGAAAAUUUUAAGUUUUCUUCCUUAAAUUAUUACCAUGUUAUUAUAUAAAAGGUAUUUUUAAGGUUCAAAGAAGAUGACAAGAAGGAAAGGGAGAGAAUGAUCUCACAUGAAAACAUAGCGACAAAUGUUUUUCAGUGUGCAUGAAAAAUUGAAUCUCAAGCAUUAGUGGAGGUGUUAAUCAAGUGAAAAAUAUAAUUUAUUGAACAUUCUAUCCUAACCAUGAUGUUUAACAAAAUAUUAUUGAACAAUGCUAAAUAUUAUUGAACAUUUAGCAAAAUAGUUGGUUCAACUUGGUUCCCAGGUCAAAACAGGAGCUUUUUGGCCUGUUCACUAUCACUUCACAUGGUAAAUUUUUUUUUUUUGAUAAGUAAACAAGAUAUUCAUUAGAAAAGGCUAAACGCCAUAAAGCAUACAGGGAGUAUACAAAACGGCUAAAGCCUCAAAAAAAGGAAAAGGACCAAAAAGAAACUACCUCCCCUUAAGUGGAAGCAAUCCACUCCAAAAAGCCUAUGAGGGAGAAAGACUCCUCACCUAAAUACACUUUGGCCCAAUUCCACAAGUUACAGACAAAAGAAUUCUUUAAUUUCUGAAUAUUCAACUCACCCCCCCUAAAGGCUAACCUAUUCCUCUCCUUCCAAACCGUCCAAAAAAUACAUAACGGAAUGGAUUUCCAAAUCCUUUUCCUUUUCUUCCCUACAAAUGAGCCCCUCCAGGAUAUUAAAGCCUCCUUUACAGUUUCUGGGUGGACCCACUUAACAUCUAUCAACCCAAAAAUAAUUUCCCAUAGGGCUCUAGUCACUAUACAGUGUAAAAGUAUAUGAUGUACAUUCUCUUCUUCGCAACCACACAAAUAGCAGCAAUUAGGGAGUUGCACCCCUCUUAACUGGAGUCUAUCCAGGGUAAGCACCUUCCCCCACGUAGCCUCCCAAGCAAAAAAACAGACUUUUGUUGGCACCCUAUCCACCCAUAUUUUCCUUGCGGGAAAAACUAUGGCAUUAGGCUUGUCUAGCAGCCUGUAGGCUUCUUUGAUUUUGAAAAUACCAUUUCUUCCCUGCCUCCACACAACUGAGUCAUCCUCCAGAGAGGGCCUUUGACCCCUCAAAGUAUGAAGCAGCUCCCCAACCAUAUCCAUCUCCCAAUCAUUGAAGUCCCUCACAAAAACAAGCUUCCAAUCUCCUUGGCCCGCAUCAUGAUCCCACAUCUCCUCAAUCGUAGCAUCCCUAUGCACGGCAAGGACAAAGAGUUGAUUGAAGCCUUGGGACAACGGAGUGUCUGUGCACCAACAAUCUUUCCAAAACUUGAUUUUGGAACCCUUCCCAACCCUAAAUGCCAAAUUAUCCCAACACCAAUCGUCUUCCUUCAUGAUCUCCUUCCAGACCCCUACUCCAGCCGGCCCACGGACCUUCUUUGGCCUCCAACCAUAAUCCUCUUGCCCAUAUUUUGUAGUGAUCACUUGAUUCCAAAAGUUAUUCUUUUCACAAGCAAACCUCCAAAUCCACUUGCCCAGCAAGGCUCUAUUCAAAGUGGCUAUUCUCCUUAAUCCCAGCCCUCCCUUGUGUUUUUCUGUACAGACCGCAUCCCAUUUGACUAGGUGAACUUUUCCUUCCAAGUUUCCUCCCCCCCAAAGGAAAUCUCUUUGUGUUUUUUCCACUCUUUUGGCAACAGACUUGGGCAUCCGGAAAAUAGACAUUUGGUAAGUUGGCAAACUAGCCAAGGUGCUUUUUAUGAGAGUGAUUCUCCCCCCUUUGGAUAUGUACUGUCUCUUCCAAAGCGCAAGUCUCCUCCUGAUCCUUUCUUCCACUCCAUCCCACAUAGAUGUAGCCCUGUUGGGGACCCCUAAGGGAAGGCCCAAAUAAUGAGAGGGCAAAGACCCCACCCUGCACCCUAAUUCAGCUGCCAACUCAAGAGAAUCCUCCACUUCUCCAAUUGGGAUGAUUUCGCUUUUGGCUAGAUUAAUCCGAAGACCCGAAGCCGCUUCAAACCAAAAGAGAAUCCAACUUAGGUGGGAAACUUGCUCUUUGCUCGCCUCACAAAACACAAUUGUGUCAUCAGCGAAAAAUAGGUGGGAGAUAUUCAAGGAUGUUCUACUACCGCCCUGAAUAUUGCACCCUGAAAGAUAGCCCCCCUCCACCGCUCUCCUGAUAAGGACGUCCAGGACCUCCAUGCCCAUAACAAAGAGGUAAGGGGAUAGGGGGUCCCCUUGACGAAGCCCUCUAGUACUAGGGAAGAAACCAGCUGGCACUCCAUUAACAAGAAUGGAAAAUUUAGCAGAGGAGACACAACUCCACAUCCAUCUCAUCCAUUUGGUCCCAAAGCCCAUUUUUUUAAGGACCUUCAUUAAGAAAUUCCAAUUGAUGCUAUCGUAAGCUUUUUCUAUGUCCAAUUUGCAAACAAGGCCCUUUUCUUUUUUCUUCUGCCACGAGUCUAUCACCUCAUUCGCAAUUAAAGACGCAUCCAGAAUUUGUCUUCCCAUAACAAAGGCAUUCUGAGCAUAAGACACCACCUUACCAAUCACUUUUUUGAGCCUAUUAGCUAAGACUUUAGCCAAAAGUUUAUAGAGCCCCCCCACCAGGCUGAUAGGUCUAAAGUCUCCAAGAUUCUCCGCCCCGCUUUUCUUAGGAAUCAACACCAAGAAGGUAUUGUUAAGGCUCUUAACAAAGGAAUUAUGCUCAUGAAAUUCUUUAAACAUCUCCAUGAUCUCCUCUUUGGCAAAGUCCCAUGCGUUUUGCCAAAAAGCAACAGUAAAGCCAUCCGGGCCAGGGGAUUUAUCCCCAUUCAUCUCCAUCAAAGCCGAGUGAAUCUCAGUCUCUGCAAAUGGGGUUUCCAGACUCUCUGCUUCUUGCUGGCUGAUGCAAUUCAACUGAAUGCUACCAAUAUCCGCCUGCCAACCCAUAUCUUCAGAAAGCAAUUGCUGCAACGAGUUCACAACACCUUCUCUCACCUCCUGCUCCUCUACUAGCCACUCCCCAUUAACCUUAAUUCUGUCCAUAGCGUUGUUUCUUCGAUGUGCACUAGCCAUUCUAUGGAAAAACCCCGUAUUUCUAUCCCCGUCCUUCAGCCAAAUCUCCCUUGAAUGCUGUCUCCAAUGGGCUUCCUCCAACAGGACCCAUUUCUUAAAGGAAUCUUUAGCUUCCUUUUUUAAUUCAGCUUCCUCCAUAGAUAAGAUUCUCUCACUUUCCACCCGAUCCCAAAAAUCUAAUUGAUAUAAGGCUGAAGCUUUGUUAGUUUCCAGCCUCCCAAAAACCUCUUUGUUCCACACUUUCAGCUUCUUUUUAAUUUCCUUCAUUUUAACUGCCAAUCUAUAGCUAGCGCUGCCCCUGACUUCAAUUUCUUGCCACCAGGUUCUAAUAAUGUCAUUAAAUCCCUCAACCUUAAGCCACAUAUUUUCGAAUCUAAACGGGGUUGGGCCUCUUCUUACACCACCCCCCUCUAGCACGAUUGGAAAAUGGUCAGAAGUGGGACGAGAUAACCUGCCCUGAGUGACUCCACUGAACUGAUCUAACCAGCUAGGGGAGACUAGAAAUCUAUCUAGCCUCGCCCACGCCUGAUUAUUCAGCCCCCCACUCCAUGUGAACUCUCCCCCCUGCAGGGGCAAAUCCACCAGCUCUAGAUCAUCCACAAUUUGAGCAAAUCUCCGCAUGGCUGAGCUGAUUCUUCUUUGGCUGCUCCUUUCGUGUUGAAACAGAGUAAUAUUAAAAUCCCCACCGAGACACCAGGGAUCGCCCCACAGUCCCCUUAUUGCCCCAAGUUCUUCCCACAUACCCUCCCUUUCCACUUUGGUAAAAGGGCCAUACACACCCGUAAAAACCCAGAUAGCCCCAUUUUCUGUGAUCUUGAAUCUACAAGACAAGGAAAACUAACCCUCCUCCCAAUCCAGAAUUUCCAGAACCCGCUUAUCCCAGCAUAUCAAAAUGCCACCCGCAGCCCCUUCCGCAUUUCGGGCUCUCCAAUCUGAGAAUCUCCCCAAUCCCAAACUUCUCACAAUACCCUCCGACAUCUCCUAAAUCUUGGUUUCCUGAAUACACAUUAGGUCCACCCUCUGGUUCCUUAUAUAGUUUUUGAUAAUUUUCCUCUUUGAGCUGUCAUUAGCUCCCCUCACAUUCCAGGUAAUGAUCUUCAUCCUCAUUGGGCAACUAUCAACUGGUUCCCUUUGCCCUGUGAAGGACCUUUCUGCCUAUUCCCCCCCUCGUAAUUAACGGAACAUUCCAGCCUCUUCAGCUCCCUUUCAAACUUGGACUUUUCCAAAAGUUCUUUGCUGUGAAUCUUUUCCCGUCUCUUUCUGAUUUUAAUCAAGAAGCUCAAUAUCUCCUUUUCCAGUCCCUCUGUAGAGAAUCCCAGGAAUUGACUAAAUUUUGCUAGACUGCAUUCCUCCCAAGGAUCCUCUUUCUCGUUUUCACUAUCUUGAGAAGCAGAGCCACCAUUGUUCCCCUCCUUAUCCUUAGCCUUGUCUCUGUUCUUGCUGUCCUCUCCCAACUUCCAGAAACCAUUUUCGUUUUCAACAUUCCCCUCAUAUACUGUUAACCAAGUGGACAUAUCCCCCCUUAAUUCCUCCUCAAUACCCCCUGGGUGAUCGAAAGACUCCCCCUCCGGAGCCCGAUCAGAAUUAGAGAAGAGAAGAAGAGGUGUUCCCACAGCCCUUUUACCUUUAGGAUAGGGAUUUAAAGCAUACCUUUUAACUUCCUCUUCCAGCGCUCGGUCAGUCAUUGAAAGACCAACAUCCCCUUGUUCCCUUCUAGGCUCCUCUAUCACCCAGCUUAUCAAAGGAUCCUCUGAAUUGGGUCCUUUUCUGGAGCUAAAGCGACCCAGAAUGCCAGCCUUCUCUAAUGGAGCAAUUGGGCCCUCCCUUUCCGGACCUUCCACCUCAGUUAGUUGAUUGCAGCCCAUUUCAGCAGCCCAACUUGGGCCUGCCUCUGAAUAGUCAUUCACUUUAGGCUUGUUUUUUAACUUUCGGCCCAGCAGCCCAUCCAUUUUGUUCAGCCCACCAUCCUUCUUUAACCCACUAAGGCCCAUAUUUGGGCCACUUGCAGCCGGCCCAGCCAUUCUACCAAUUGGAGAGGCCCAAUCCCGAUUCUCUUGGCCCUGGAACUGUAACCCGGGUGCAGGACCCGGCCCAUUCUCCUGCAAAUCACUCCCAUCAACUGGCGUCUGCAGUUCCUCGAUUCCCGCACCUACCAACUCCUUUCCCACGCGCUUCUCCGCGCGUGAAUGCAACUCACCCCUGACCUCCUUAUUCCUCCUGUUUUCCGUCGCAGAGAAGGGCCGUUUCACCACCAGCCUGAUCUCCCACCAUAAAGCCACAGAGUAUAUCUCAUCCUCUACCUCAAUUUCUAACAAGCUCGGUCUGAAAUCGCCUUUUGUUUUAACCAAAAUCCUAGCCCAUUGAAUCUCCCCCAUCGAUCUUGUGCGCUCAUCCAUAUCUACGAAGCCCCCACAUUCCUCCCCUAUUUUCUUCAAAGUCCCCGGGCUCCAGAGCGAGAUUGGGAGGCCGUAUAUUCUAACCCAAGCUAUCUGCUCCAUCUCCUUCUCUACCCGACAUCCCGUCUUUGGAUUCCAUAACUCCAGCCCUAAAUGGGCUCCUCCCAGCAGUCUGCUCCCCGAGGAGGCCACACGGCGUGCCUCACUUAGAUCUUCAAACUCCAACAAAGCCUUACCUCGUUCCAAUUUGGCCAACCCUAGCUUGCCUUUUAGUCCCCAAGAAUUCGCCCAGAGACUACCCAAUCUCUCCAAGUCGUCUUCCUCCUCUUUUUCGGACUUCCAGCUCACGACGAGGCAAUGCUCCAGCUUCUGUAAGUUGCCAGCAAUCUCCUCCCUUGUAACCCUCAUCUUGAUUGCGUUUAGGCCAUCCCAAUUGGUCCUUCUGACGGCUUCUACGUAUGAUUUCGCCGGAUUAGCUCUUCCGACAGUCCUUACCUCCUGCACCUCUGUUCUUCUACCGGCCAUCUCUUCCAUUUGACGUACCAUCUCCACCAUAGCCGUCCACCCUCUUUUGCCCCUUCUCCCUCUCGGUAAGAAUAUGCAAAACCUCUUUCGUUCCAGACCCACAACCCCCAAUCUUAGAUAAACACCCGCUCUGUUGAAACCCCGAGCCAAGGUAUACAGCUUACCUCCUUCUUUCCAUUCCUUUUCCCAUCGCCCUUCUUCAUCGUCACGAAUACAAUGGAUUAAUCCCUCCUUGAAAAGCCCUAAGCUUUCCAGCCCUAAUCGAACCCAUGUCGAGACCCCACGUUUCUUCUCCACAAUGCGAAACUGGCGUUUCCCUUUCCUAUCAUCCAGGGCAAGUUCGAAGGUCUUGGAUUCCACCGUGAAGCUUCGCCGUCGGCUCGCCUCGCCGGUCUCCUCGUCGUCGCCGUCGCACGCGCUCUCACGCUCCCUCUCGCCCUCUCUCUCUCUUUCGCUCUCUCUCUCUCUCUCUCCCAUUUUUUACGAUUGCAAAAGCCUCACAUGGUAAAUGAAGAAGCCUGAAUGUCUUGGGACCAAGAGGAGACCUAGAAUUCAUCUGCAGGCAUCCCCAUUUUGACCUGGCAUGCACACCCUCUCUUUCUCCUUCUCUUCCCCCCUCCCUCCAAUCACUUUGAAACCUAUUUCAUCCUUCACACUAUCGAACUCACAUCCAUCCCCUACCCUUAAUAGCUAUGAUAACUCUGAAGUUCACAACCACCAGCGCGCCCCCCCACCAAAGGAGCAGAAGAAAGAAAGAGAUGGGAGGAAAAGGAACAUGCUAAUGAUGAAUCCUUGAUAGCAAAUAUCAGAGAAGUGCUUCUUUGGGGUUAUUUUAAGGUUUGGAAUAUGUGCACCCUCUUUUGAAGUGUUGUUACACACUCAAACCCCAAUUUCAUCAAUUUACAUUGAUCCCCACAGAUCAUGACCUCAGGCAAAAAUUGUUCUUCCUGCUAGUGAAACAUUAGCCUAUGUUAAGAAUGCUUUAACAACUGCAAUAUUUGCCCUCUAUCAAGAUGCAACCCAACUUGCACAAGGCCAAUCACCUCUCCUACCUCCCAUUGAUCAGACCCCUCAUAAUAGUGUUUCUAACUGAAACUCCAAAAGUAGGCCCUAGAAACAUCCAUAUAAAUAACAAUUAUGGAUCCCUGGUUCACCUGAAUCACAUCUAAUCCACAGGUGAGGCACCUCCCCAACAUCAAAACUUAGCCUUUCCCUAUCUCUGCUCUUUUUUUAAUAGGAUCCUAGCUUUUUUUUCAAGCUCAAUACAAACUCAAAGCAUCUAAAGGAAACUUUUAAUGAUAGAGAACCAUAAAAUAUUCAUUUAGAGAUGGGAUCAAAGCAUAAAAGGUUAUAAUUUCUGAUAACUAAAAACCAGUAGAUAAAGACAUAUUAGGAGUAUAACUGUUUCUCCCAGGGCGAUGAGUAGAAGGGAUCUUAGCAGUUUAGAGGCAUGUAAAAUUAGCAUUCAAU